AACGCACAUUGCGCCCGCCAGUAUUCUGGCGGGCAUGCCUGUCCGAGCGUCAUUUCAACCCUCGAACCCCUCCGGGGGUCCGGCGUUGGGGAUCGGCCCUUUACCGGCCGGCCCCGAAAUACAGUGGCGGUCUCGCCGCAGCCUCUCCUGCGCAGUAGUUUGCACACUCGCACCGGGAGCGCGGCGCGUCCACGUCCGUAAAACACCCAACUUCUGAAAUGUUGACCUCGGAUCAGGUAGGAAUACCCGCUGAACUUAA
rnacentral:misc_RNA from 1 species